UACGUAGGGGGCAAGCGUUGUUCGGAAUUACUGGGCGUAAAGGGCGCGUAGGCGGCUCGGCAAGUCGGGAGUGAAAGCCCGGGGCUCAACCCCGGAACGGCUCUCGAAACUGCCGGGCUCGAGUGCGGAAGAGGCAACCGGAAUUCCCAGUGUAGCGGUGAAAUGCGUAGAUAUUGGGAAGAACACCUGAGGCGAAGGCGGGUUGCUGGGCCGACACUGACGCUGAUGCGCGAAAGCGUGGGGAGCAAACAGG
rnacentral:rRNA from 1 species